GAAGAUGUAGCUCAGUGGUAGAGCACAUGUUUAGCACGUGUGAGGUCCUGAGUUCAAUCCCUAGUACCUCCA
rfam:Camelus ferus unplaced genomic scaffold scaffold1408, whole genome shotgun sequence.